ACAAUAGGUUUCCUCCGCCUCACAACUCACUCUUUCAGAUUCAGCAGGGGGAAAUGUAAUCUUACCAGUGAUUGUGUUCAUUCCCAUGACAUCACACCAACGGAAACUGAAUCCAGGCAGCAGCAGUCUGUCUUACAUGGAAUGAAUCAACACUGGGAUGGAGCACCACAGUCUGAAAAAGAAACCCAGUGGCUAUACAGUGAGUUAGGCUGAGGAGCACCUGAAUCCUAUGGUAUGCAGAAGCGAGCGAGCGAGCGAGCGAGAGAGAGAGAGAGAGAGAGAGAGAAUUUGGUAGGGCUUUUCCUUUUCCCUUCAAUAUUUCCAAAACUCAGUGGAUAAAUUCCAGUUCUUC
rnacentral:lncRNA from 11 species